rnacentral:rRNA from 1 species
GACGAACGCUGGCGGCGUGCUUAACACAUGCAAGUCGAACGGAAAGGCCCUGCUUUUGUGGGGUGCUCGAGUGGCGAACGGGUGAGUAACACGUGAGUAACCUGCCCUUGACUUUGGGAUAACUUCAGGAAACUGGGGCUAAUACCGGAUAGGAGCUCCUGCUGCAUGGGGGGGGUUGGAAAGUUUCGGCGGUUGGGGAUGGACUCGCGGCUUAUCAGCUUGUUGGUGGGGUAGUGGCUUACCAAGGCUUUGACGGGUAGCCGGCCUGAGAGGGUGACCGGCCCCAUUGGGCCUGGGGUACGGCCCGGACUCCUACGGGCGGCAGCGGUGGGGAAUUUUGCACGAUGGGCGGAGGCCUGAUGCAGCAACGCCGCGUGCGGGAUGACGGCCUUCGGGUUGUAAACCGCUUUCGCCUGUGACGAAGCGUGAGUGACGGUAUGGGUAAAGAAGCACCGGCUAACUACGUG